rnacentral:sRNA from 1 species
UAUUCUGCCCCACGGGGAAGGAUGAGAAGCUUCGACUAAGGUUCGACUCGAGCGUAGCGAGAGAACGUUGCCGCAGGCAACGGCCCGAAGGGCGAGGCGCGUUAGCGCCGAGUCAUCCUUCCCCCACCACCA